rnacentral:rRNA from 1 species
GAUGAACGCUAGCGGCAGGCUUAAUACAUGCAAGUCGAGGGGCAUCGGGGGUAGCAAUACCUGCCGGCGACCGGCAAACGGGUGCGGAACACGUACACAACCUUCCUUUUGGUGGGGGAUAGCCCAGAGUAAAUUUGGAUUAAUACCCCGUAGUAUUGGUAAGUGGCAUCACUUGUCAAUUAAAGAUUUAUUGCCAGAAGAUGGGUGUGCGUCUGAUUAGGUAGUUGGUAGGGGUAACGCCCACCAAGCCUACGAUCAGUAACUGGUGUGAGAGCACGACCAGUCAC